rnacentral:lncRNA from 1 species
UUCAUCCGCUCAUCUGUAAAUCCAAACCAUAGCCAAUCAUGAGAAUCCUAUAACUCUGAGAAGAAAAAGAGAAAUGGAAGGGUAUGAACUUUACAGUCCAGUAAAAAUUUCAUAUAUCACACAUUAUAAUAAUAUAAUUUAAAAAUAAUAAUAAACAUAAAAUCUUAUAUCAAAUAUCUAGAAUAAUACAAAUAUCUGUAUAAAUAUAUGUUAAUUAUCUAUCUUGUCAAAAGAGAAAUGUUAUCACAUAUCAUUGGUGAAAGUCUUUUAUUCAGCAUGAAUUUUGUAUUCUAUCAUCUGUUUCUUUUAUCACAUAUCCAGUUUUCUUAAUCCGUUCUUUCCGACUUUGGACGGAUCAAGAUCAUGCCUAAAUUCUCUAUCUGAUCAAAUUUUUCAUUCAUAAGUCCAUCAAGACUGUCCCAGACAUGAGCUCCUGACUGGGUGUCCCAUGUAUGAAAGCCUGUGGGGACUGUUCCAGGUAUAAACUCCUGACGGGCUAUCCCAGGCAUGAGCUCCUGACUGGCUGAUCUACGUAUAAGUCCAUAGAGGCUGUCCCAGACAUAAGCUCCUGGUAGGCUGUCUCAGGCUUAAGCU